GAUGAAGAACGUAGCGAAAUGCGAUAAGUAAUGUGAAUUGCAGAAUUCAGUGAAUCAUCGAAUCUUUGAACGCACAUUGCGCCCGCCAGUAUUCUGGCGGGCAUGCCUGUCCGAGCGUCAUUUCAACCCUCGAACCCCUCCGGGGGGUCGGCGUUGGGGAUCGGGAACCCCUAAGACGGGAUCCCGGCCCCGAAAUACAGUGGCGGUCUCGCCGCAGCCUCUCCUGCGCAGUAGUUUGCACAACUCGCACCGGGAGCGCGGCGCGUCCACGUCCGUAAAACACCCAACUUCUGAAAUGUUGACCUCGGAUCAGGUAGGAAUACCCGCUGAACUUAAGCAUAUCAUAAGCGGAGGA
rnacentral:misc_RNA from 1 species